CGAUGGAAUCUCGACCCCAGUCUCGUCAUCCUAUUUGCCAGGUUCAAGCGACGUUUCGGUCCCGAAAUACGUCAUCGGAGAUGCUCGUCGCGACGCUGUAAUAAUGUAAACAUUGUCCGGUUGACAGGCGUUGCGUCAGUUUUCGAUUGUUUUUGCGCGCCUUGUGGACAACCGUUAUUGAAAGUGUCACGACAAUUUUUUUCGCUUGUUUUUUGGAAAAUUGCAGCGACUCAAAAUUGCCGCAAAACCAGCCGAACCAUGCCAUCAUCCAGUUAAAGAGCACCAGGUGCAAAAGAACCGCAGAAUGAAUCCAGUCCAAAUGGCCACCAAUAUCGUAACCGAAUGGCUCAAGUCGCUGCGUUUAGGCCAAUAUUCUGAAAGUUUCAUCGACAACGGGUAUGACGAUCUGGAGAUCUGCAAACAGAUCGGCGAUCCAGAUCUGGAUGCCAUCGGCGUCUUCAAUCCGGCACAUCGAGCUCGUCUCUUGCAAAGUGUGCGAACUCUUCGCGAAGAAGGCGCAGCCAGUGUCUACUUCAGCUUGGAGGAGGCUGAGAAAAGUACGAUCGGCUGCACGGAGGAAGCGCCACCUCCAACGGAUCAGAACCUUCUGAGUUCAGCCAGUAACAGUGAAACGGAUCGGCAUAGUAUCGGGUCGCGCACAUCGGGCAGUGAAAAAGCACCCAGUGCUCCUUUGGAGGAGGUCGCGAGGUAUCUGGACGAAUAUGAGGAGGGCAAAGCCGAACUGGUCAAGAUUCCAAAGAUGCAGCUCAAAGGCUUGCUGAAGGAGAAGCUGGCGCAGGAUGGCGUCAAGCUCAGUCUGCAGCCGUACUCUACUCAGGAGGGUGAACGAGGCUACCUGGAAGGUUUAGCGUCCCGAUAUGCUGAUCUCUUUUCCACUCAUUACGGCGACGUUUUCGGCCACCUUGAGGAUCUGCGCAAAGCUGAAGUGGCCGAAACGUCGCCGAAAGAGCGCACCCAGCCGAUUCUGGAAAACAACAGCAUCAUUUGCAAUAACAUCAGCCCCGGCAUGACCGCCUCUCAUAGCCAGCCUAUUUACGUUCCUGGGAAAUAUUUGCCCUCAAGUUGCCUGUCCCAUAAAGACGAAGACGAAAUCUACGGAUUUGCUGGCACAGUAUUCAAGCCCACCCAAAUCGCGAUUCCUCAGCAACCGCAAAGAAUAAUCGGCGCCCACAUGACACAGCCGUUGCUAUCCCAGCAACAGCACAAUUACCAAACGUGCUUGAGUCCAAGAUCCGCCUACUUUUACGAGUUUCCACCAAACGAACACGGCUAUGCGAAUACAACGAAGAAGAAAAAUACCUUUUCUCGGAUCCAGAGGAUAUUCAAAACAUCACAUAGAAAAGAAAAGCAUGGCGGUAGUUCUCCGAGGCAUGGUCGGGCCACAACCACCAAAGGGCUGCCACAAAGGGUGGAUACUCCGGAUAGUGUUCUUCAAUCUGGACUCGGAUUGGCCGAUUUGGGUCAGCACGCCGUAUUACGUUCCAUGGUUGAUCCUCUCGACUACGAUCGGCUUCGUCAUCUACAAAUGAAUGGAGGCGCCCCGACAUCAUUUGAGGAAACCAUUUAUAAGCUCAAGGUCCAGGAGGCGAUGCGAAAACGGGAGAAAUUCACCAAGGAGCACGAAGAGAUCUUGAGGGACAUUAAACAGGGUUUACUACAAUUAGGCAAAGAGGGCAUCAGAGGGCCCAUGACGGCAGCUGAUGAUACCUACAUGUAUGACGACGACGUGCGAAUGCUGACACCAGCUGGGGUUUCUCAUCCCCACGAUCUGCGUUUGGGCCAUUGGUACGAUGAGCCGCCCUAUGAAAGUGACCCAGAAGAUUUUUUAAUGGGGGGAGGAGGGCAGGCCACCAUACAGGUAAGGAAUGGACGAGUCUGUUUCACGCUAAACGUACGUCCGGAGCAAAAACAUGGCGAGGGAGUAAUAUCUUUGCGAAGUGCCGGUGACAUCUCUUUGCCUACCGCACAUUGUCAGACGCCCCGAAGAGGUCUGAUUUUGCCUCGGGAAGCUGGCUAUCCACCCACGAUUAUACCACUUAGGUCUUCCAAAGAGCGAGAAAGUGGAGAUUAUGCCAGUUCGGAUGUUCAAAGCGUCAGCUCCAGGUUGUCCACCCUGUCAAUGGACACUAGCCGAUCGGAAUUGCUCGAGAUGACUAGCAUGAUUUCUCCCCAGUACUAUAUACCGCUAGAAGGCAGCAAGAAUAAGCACUUUAGAAGAAGCCACAACUACCCCAGAAGUGAAGACGGGCUGUCGCCUAGCCAAAGCUCCGACUACGAAGAUCAGGAGGAGUUCAGCAACUGCAGCCAGCAGCAAAUAGCAACCGUCCACGUGUCUAGUGACGGAAGAGCUUCCGGAGUGGCCAGCUUGGUGGGCAAAGUGCGAGGCCUUCGGGAAGACGUGCAGAGGAAAAUCUCGCGACUCAAGGGAGAAGAUCAGCGGAUCAACCAGGAGCAAACGCUCACAUUUUCCGCCAGUUCUGUGGAAAGUUUGCCCAGCGGCUCAGGAUCUAGCACGCAGGCUUUGGUGAGAGCGGGCAGCAACCACAGCUCAAUAUCAACCGAAGAGGUUGAUCCUAGUCCGACUGAGCAAAUAAUAGGUCGCGCUCGGGCUUUGGUGGACCAAAUUCCAAGCCCAUUCGAUAAGGAGAGUUUAAAAUUUAAGGCUGGUGAUAUAAUAGAUAUAGUUUCCAUGAACCCGACCGGACAAGGUAAAGGGAUCUCGCAGGGUAAGAAGGGGACGUUCAAGUACAUGAACGUGGAGCUGGUGAGCGAACGAACAGUGAAAGUGAAGAAGGACACCAAAUGGUAUCGGAUCUUCAAAGGACGGCCGAUUUCCGUGGAAGAUCUGCUGCAGAAGAUCGGCCUCUCCGAGUACAUUUCCGUGUUCAUCCUCAACGGCUAUGAAGACUUGGAGCUCUUCAAGGAGAUCGAGCCUUCGGACAUGGACUAUUUGGGGAUCGUCAAUGGGGACCAUCGGGCGAAGAUCUUGACAGCCGUGCAGCUGCUCCAUGAACUGGAUUCUGGAAGCGACGCAGAUAUUGCGGGAUCCAGUAGCGAAAACGACGACCAGCGGCAGCGUCGUACCCCAUUCAACCGGCGUCAUUUGUCCAGAGACUCUGGCUGCUAUGACGGGCAUAAAAGAACGCACGCGUCCCCCCAAUCGGACGCCAGCGACCAUGGGGAUAAAAACAACCUGGACUCGGUAGUGGAGCAAUGUAACAACGAAAUUCUGGCUAGGGUAGGUUCGACAGGCACAACAAAGCCAAACGAAAGGCGAGUCUGUGUACGACUUGAACAUUCCCCCUUUGGAGCGCAAGGCAAGAGACUCGUAUGUAACGAUGCACGGCCAAACCUCUUUGCUCGAUCCCUCCAAGAAGAGUAUGCCGAAUAGGAAGGUGCCGGGCGAGGAGUUUUGUGAAACUGAUCCGAAGUUCUCUUCUGUGAAAUACAUUGCAAACUCGGACAUACCUGACUCAACUUCCUUGAAUAUCCUGGGCAAAAGUUGCUUGAGCGAAAAAUCGAGCGACAGCGGCGUCAGCAGCAGUUCGUUGUCUUCCACAUUGAAGGAGAGGGAUAAUCGGCCGAUUGGAGGCUUUCAACACUUGGAACGAAGCAAUAACUGUGCCAACACGUCCACUACUGCCAAUAAACGAACAUAAUCAAAAACAUGCGCUAGGGAAAUUUAUGAGUUAUUUUUAGGGUAGGAGGUGCACUCGAUCCUGUGGCUUCAAUCCCAUGCCGAAUGGAUGAGAUUGGAGAGUAUGGUUGAAGCCACUAGAUGAGAGGCAUGCAAUUCUUUUUAUUAUUCAAAGUAACUCUAAAUUAAUAAAUGUUUAAAUAAACAAUUCGUGAUAGAACAAAGAAUACAAUAAUUGCGCCUAAAAUGCUUUCUUCUUUUGCUGUUUAGAUUCAAUCAGAAUUGAGAAUAAUAAGGCCUUUUUUCGUACGGAAUGAGUAAAAUGGUCCAGCCAGCAAAUAUAAAGAAAGCAAUUUGCGUACAAAAAAAAACGUAUUUCUGUAGAUAAGAUGUAAACUGAUGUGUAUAUUAUGUAAAAAGAAUAUUUUAUGGCUAGUCCUUGUUCUAAUUGAUUUGUGUAAAAAUUCAAAAUUUCGCUGUGUACCUACAGAAUGUGCUUUUCGGUACUUUUUAUUCGAAAUCUUCUAGUUCACUGCGCGACGUCCUUAGAAAACUGUUAGUAUACAGACUGAACAAAUCGUUUUUUACGUUCGUUUAUGUUUAACUGAUUCAAAACCCCAUUAGUUCACACCUUUUUGCAGGGUUGCUGAAUUAUUUAAAGUUUUUCCGAGUUUUGUUUUGUAAAGUAGCCUUCAGUAUUAAUUGAGCAGCUCUGUUGGGGGCAGGGCAGUCAAACUGCAGUAAGAUCGCUAAAUGUCAGUCAAUAAACAAUUUAGAUGGUUUAAAAAAUAAUAAAUCAUGCAUAUAGA
rnacentral:misc_RNA from 1 species